rnacentral:lncRNA from 1 species
CCCAAAGUUGCAUUUAUGCAAAAUAAGAAAAAGUGCUUACUCCUCAAAGUAAUCUUUUGUGUUGUGAUAUGUCAUACAAUAUUAUAUUACUGAACGUGGGAAAAUAAAAAAAUGAAGGGGUCUCCCCAUUUCAGCAGUGUUAGGUUACCCUGAAGAGUGUCAGCUUGAAAAGGAAAGAAGAAAAAAACAGGAGUAGGGAAAGUAUAAGAACAAUGCUGGUGCUAGGAUUCAAUGGCGAGCACACCGAUUGAAUUUACCCAGAGCCACUAGUUUUUUAAUAAAAAUAGUACGUAAACUUUGAAAAUCAGUGGCCCAAGCCCCAGUUAUAAAUCUGGGGAAGUUGCUGCUACUAUAAGACACUCAUAUGCAGGAUCCGUUUCUAUCUAGGGGAGCCAAUGGUGAGAAUCCAGGCCUCUGAGAAAGAAGUUGCCCAGGGAAAAGAAACCUCAAGAGAUGCCCAGAGAUCCAAGAGCAUCUCAGAGAACACCAAGGACAACACGUGGUCACAGUUAUGUUACAGAACCUGAAUAAGGUGAUUGCGGUAGACAGCUUCAGAAAUGGCUCCCCUUAAUCUCUUCUCCCUGGUAUUUAUGUCAUUGUAAUGUCUCUCAUGAGACUCAUGUGCAAAGAACAGAGUCUGGAUUUCAUCCAACAAACAGCAAGGAACUGAGUCCUAUCAACAACGACAAGAAAAUCAAAUUUUGAAAUGGAGUUAAACAGCAUACCUAUCCUACUUUUUACGUGAAAAUAUCCAGCGGGAACUUGACACACAGUCCAGUGGAGAAACUGGAAAAUCAUCGAGAAAUCAAUACAGGACAAGAUGAUUCAUAUUUUCUUUCCCAAAAUAUAAUGCAGGAGAAACAGGAUCACCUCUGGACUCAGUCGAAUUACCUGUUUCAUCGUCUUAAUAGAAGUUGCAGUCUAAUAAAGGAUGUUCUUAGGAGUAAAUUAAGUUCCUUAGUCUUAGUUUCCGGAGGGAAUUAUGUACGUAAUUGGCUGGUCUCAGCAAGUCAUUUAAUGUUGGUGUCAGUGCUGUUGGUGAUGUCCCAGGUAUAUGUGGGUCUCUGGCACUCGUGGAAGUUCCUGGAGACAAAGCCAGCAACCCUGUGUCCUCCUCAUCCUCAGUGUCCUCAUUAUCAUCUUAGCUAAUGGUAGUGAUUGGACAACAAUGAAAUAAUAAAUGGUGUUUUAAAAUUGAGUGUUCCA